rnacentral:rRNA from 1 species
UACGUAGGUGGCAAGCGUUGUCCGGAAUUAUUGGGCGUAAAGCGUCGCGCAGGCGGUCCUUUAAGUCUGAUGUGAAAGCCCACGGCUCAACCGUGGAGGGUCAUUGGAAACUGGGGGACUUGAGUGCAGAAGAGGAAAGCGGAAUUCCACGUGUAGCGGUGAAAUGCGUAGAGAUGUGGAGGAACACCAGUGGCGAAGGCGGCUUCUGGUCUGUAACUGACGCUGAGGCGCGAAAGCGUGGGGAGCAAACAGG